GAAUCUAUGAAAAGAAGGACCCAAUGGACUUUUCAGUUUCACUAUAUCAUAGUUGGCAUUAAAAAGGAAAUAUUUGCCAAAAUCUCUAUACUGCUGUACCUUAGCCUUUGUAGAUAUUCACAAUUUUUAAUAUGGGCCUGGAUAUUGACUUUGUAUUUGUACCCACUGUAUUACUCAUAACAUUUUUUAUUGAAGGAAAACUGUUUUUAAUUAUCAUUUUUGCUUUAGGCUGCUUUCUGACAACAAAUCUCAGCUCAAAAAUACAGGUGGCAUAAGCAGUGUAACAUCUCUGGCAAGGAGUAGUCUCCUAGGCAACUUCUCUUGCCCUCUUUCUCUCUUUUCUCAACUGCAGUAUUUCACUUCUACUAGCCAAUAUCCUAAGAGAAAGCAACAGUCCAGAUCAGCAAGUUUACAAGGCUCCCGUAAGGAUGACGCAAGGUUUAAUCUCCUGAAGACAAGUGACUAUGUGAGAAUCUCAGCUUUUUUUUAAAGCUGAUUGGUGAAACAGAAAAGUCUGAAAACAUGAUCUGAAUGUACCCUAAAGACUUUCAGAAAUCAGAAGGCAAAUAAUAUAAUAUCUAUCUUUUUAGCAUGAAUAUUUUAAAGAUAAUUGAUUAGCUAAUAUUAAGAUAAGUCUACCAUAGAUUCUGGCUCAGUCUGUGAACUUUUUUCCUGCUUCAAAAGAUAGGCAUUAUUUUUAUAUUUUAUUUUCUAUUUGAGAACCCCAGAAAUGGGUAGCUAUGAGCCCUACUAAAAGUGUACAGCAUUGAUUUCUCAUAAUACAGCCGAAAGAAAGGUAAGGGCAGAGAAUAAACAUGAAUGUCUAUGACAAAAAACAAAUAGCUAUUCAAUAAAGCAUGUGGGCAUCUUCUACCAGGCUCUUCCUAAAAUCAUUAUUUCCUUAGCUCUCCUUCAUUUCUAAGAGGCUGUUCAACAAGAGAUCUUUCCCU